GUUUCUGUAGGUAAAAUUACUGGAAGCAAACACACCGGAAGUUAAUCUUAAAGUUUUAGUGGUCAGAUUCAGACUCGACGAAGAGCAGAGAGCACAGAUAUGAUAGCAAAUAAAUAACGUCAGCGGCCAUGGCACAGAACGAGCAGUCGUUAUUAUAGUUCAAAAGGGCAAACAGUCGAAGUUAUUAUGCGAGUUCACUCGUGUCAGAAUGUACAUGUGUACAGCUGCAUUUGUCAUCCGUCACCGUGACAUCAAGUGGACUUUUGAAGCUGAAAUAAUGAGUCGAUUAAGCUUGGACUUGGAAUAACGAGAGGAAUAACAUGGAUAACUUUCUUGUCGGAGGAUUGUAAUGCAUCACAGGCAGUCAGGUACAAGGAAGAGAGACUACGGCUCCAGCUUUCAAAUAAUAGACGGGUCCGGGUCGGUUCGGUGUAGUACAUUACGGGUCUCUUUUGGGUUCGGGCACGAAUCGGCCAGGCAUAGGUGCAUAUCUUCAGCCAGUGCUCUAUUUCCAGCUCGUCGGCUUUGGGUCGGCCCACUACUGCAGGUUGAUGCCGCGCUUAUCUGUUUGCACGUGACCAUUCAUCUCUUUGCAACCCACCAGAGAAAAGGUGACUCCGGCGACAUCUUUGGUUUUCAGAUGUAAUCCCUAGCGUUUGGUGCUGAGAUUCUUCAGGACAAGGCCUUGAUGCCAUCUACCCUUGGUACAUGAAGAUGGUGAGUUUCCCAAUAGCUGCCACUGUCCCAGAUCAAGAGACUGAACACAACAGGCUUCAAUCUGUAUUAACGUAUUUUGACAGGUGUAAUGUUACAUUAUUAGCUCAGAAAAUACGCUUAUUUGACUAGAAACAUCGGAAACUCAUUCAGGUAAAGCAUACUUCCAGUUAUGAGUCGGGUGUGACUUGCGUUUAGGAAAACAUGGAUAUACCACUACAACUAAUAAUAAUUAUAUAAGGUUAAAGGGUUAGUGACAAGAAUACUUUAUGAAAAAAAAAAAAAAAGUCUUUGUUUAACAAGUUCUCAUCUUCGUAAUCAGCAUCUUUAUGUUCAGUAGACAGUGCUCAUGCUGAACAUAAACAACACUUAUUACGUUCUGGGGAACUCUCCAAAAAGGCGGAAGAUGGUAGGCUAACUCGGGGAGAAGAACUUGUUGAACAAAGUCGUUAUUUUUAUUUAUUUUUUGCACACAAAAAGUAUUCUCGUCACUUCAUAAAAUGUUCUGAAGAUAAAAGAAGGUCUUAGGGGUGUGUAAUGACAUGAAGGUGAGUAAUUAAUGACAGAAUUUUCCUUUUUGGGGGAACUAACCCUUUAAUAUUAUUAAGCAAAGUUAUUAAUAAGAGGUUUUAAAAACAUAAUUUAUUAAUGUGUUUGAGAUGUGCUGUUUUCCUUAAUGCAUAACUUACAUUUCACAGGUAUAUUCUCCAUUUGUAAAUAUAAAAAAAAAAGCCAUGGAAAUAUUUCCAUUUUGCCAGGGCAGGCCGAGGCUCUGUUGGUGCUAAAAUCUUGCCUAGGACACCAAGGCACAAACUAACAAAAACUAACAAACUGGCAAAAAUAACAUGUUGGUGGAUAUUCUACUCAUAUUAAAAACAUGUUGGUCAUCCUUAAAUGGCUUAUUCUGCAAUGGGUAUCAACGAUAUGGUCCCAUUGAUUUGGAAGUAUGUUUCUUCUCCCAACAUUUAGACUGCUUUCAUUGAGUUUGUUCGUAGUGUAUAAAUCUCUAUUUGCCAUUUGUUGUUCAUAUAGGAAUUUACAACAGGUUUUAGAGGAAUGAAUAAAUGAUGCAUUUUAUAUAGCACUUUUUUUAUUGUGUAUUGUUGUACACCCAAAGCGCUUUACAAUCAUGUGGAGGUGGGGGGUCUUUACUCAACCACCACCAGUGUGCAGCAUAGCUUUGAAGUUAAAAUAUGCAAAUUACUGUACGCUUUGAUUUAACCAUUUCUUAUUAAAAUGUAAAACAUUUUAAUUGUUACAAGUUUGUAGAAUAUAAGUAAACCAUUGUUAAAGUACUACAAGGUUGUGGAUUUCACAACUUGAACACACCUUUGAGUCAAAAUGAUUUUCAUCUGAAUCACAGUGCACCACAAUGCAGUAGCCUAUAGGAUUAAAGACAAAAAUCACGUGGUUAAAUUUUGACAAUCUUGCCCUUUUUUGUCUUUAACUAUAAAGUGCAUUUCAUCCACUAAAUAGAUCAUUUUGGGCUAAAAAAAAAAAAAAAUUAUUAAGAAUGUUUAUAUUCCAGUUUAUGUGUGUAAAAAACAUUAAAUUUUGGCUUAGUUUAAAAACUUUUUUGAAUGAUUGAGCAAACGAUUAGGAAUGGCACAGAAUAAUCAUGAUAAACUUUAUUAUGGCACAACAUAUACAUUUUGGCAAAGUUAUUAAACGACAUUUUAGGCACUCUCAAUGUAAAAUAAGAAUGUUAUAAAAAUGCUUAAAGGGGGGCUACAAUGGUGUUUCAUGUAUUCAGAGUUGUUCACAGUGUUAAAGAGAUGGAUUCUCAUGCUAAACAUGGCCAAAGUUUUAAAAAAUAAUUUGGACGAAUGACGGAGAAUUUCUGCGCCAAAAAUCUUACUUCCGGGUUGGUACAAGUUUCGGCUUUAGGCUUGUUUGAGAUGAGCAAAAUCUGCGCAGAACUGAUCACCGGUGAUCACCGUGAGAUGCAUGCCGGUUAGAAAAGUGUCCGAGUUACGUCCUCCUUGCUCUGAUGUCAUGCUGACGUGUGCCAAAAAACUCUCGCGACGGCGAGGCGGCUGUGUCGGAUUAAGCAGUCGAGCGCAAUUGCUCUCCACCGACUGCGCUAUUCAAAAGCAUGAUGGGAAACGACUGACUGACGACAAAGCUUCAUGCUCAUUGGCUGAGAAUGUCAACUGAUACGUUUUCUCUUUAUUCUAAGAAUUAGAUUAACCAUUUAUUUAUAUAUUACAUACGAUCUAAUCAAAAACAAAACACGCCUAGUGAAGUUAAGAAUUAGGACAUGCGUUUAUUUUAUUAAAUUUUUCUCUUAAUUAGAAUUCUUCCUUGUUGUAAUUUUCACUUUAUUCUAUUGUAAGUUUGUUUAAUAAAUCAAUCCAUUAAAAAUAUACAUGCACACAUACAUAUCUAAAUGGACUGUUUAGCCAUUAUGCCUCAUCUUUGUGUGGUUUCAUCUGAGAAGUGUCAGGGUCUUCCUUAAAACAAGGGAAGAAAUUCUGAAAUAUGUUUGCUACAAAACAGCUUUGACUGGUAUAUUAUGGAAAAAUACUAUGGACGUGAAAUGGUGGCAGAAACCUGCUUGUUUGCAAACAUUCUUCUUAAUUUCCUCCUUUGUGUUCAGCAGAACAAAGGAAUUGAUGCACAUGAUUACAAAACAGUGGAAUUUCGAUUACAUCCACUCCAUAUGCCAUAAAAACCGCGAACGCGAUGUCCUCCAUUGCUGACGUUUGCAGGCGACAAAACAGCGAGAUUCAGGAAGUGUCCGACUUCAAAGGUCUUUUUUGACCCCUCCCCUUACUGCAGCCGCCUACUCUCGCCUACAUUUCAGGCGAGGCAAGGCGCAUCUUUUUUUUUUUUUCGAUCGUGGAUCUAAUGACGUAGACAAUGGUGAAACUCAUUAUAUGAGCAUUUCUCUCAUAGGUGUCGCCAUUUUACUUAAUAAAUUUAAAGGAGAUAUCAUUGAAUCAAUGACCUCAAAUGAGGGUAGAUGGAUAAUCUUGGUUCUCAAAUUAGACAAUUCUUUUUUUAUAGUUUGUAAUUUAUACAACUAUAACAAUACAGCUCAAGCAAAAAUAAUGUUUUUACAACUUUUUUUUGAAACUUGAAGUCUUUAAAAACAAAUAUAAAGGGGCACAUUUAAUUAUUGGAGGUGACUAUAAUGAUGCUCCAGAUGAUCUUGUAGAUAGAGUACCUGUAAGAUUAACUCCACAUUCGAGAUUCAAAAGUACUGCAUACAUUUGUGAACAACUAGCAAUUAUAGAUGUUUGGCGUUUUCUAAACCCUGAUAUUAACGAAUUUACCUGGAGCAAUGUUAGCAGAUCCUCUCAGUCUAGAAUUGAUCUAUGGCUUAUAUCUCCCUCUUUUCUGCAAUUUGUGGCAGAAUCAUCACAUAGUUAUGCUCCAUUUUCUGAUCAUAAAUUAAUUUCAAUCCAUUUAGCAGGAACAAAACAACAAAAUGGUAAUAUACGUGGUUAUUGGAAACUAAAUAAUAAUUUAUUAAAAGAUAAGGAGUUUUGUGAUUUAGUCAAAAUAACAGCAAAAAUUAUAUUUGAUAAUAAAGAUGUGAAUCACAUACAAAAAUGGGAAUUUUUCAAAUUUAAAAUUAGAGAAAUAGCAAUUAAACGAAGUAAAGCAAUUUAAAAAAAAAGAAUA
ensembl:lncRNA